CUACGGGUUGCUGCAGGCGCGAAAACUCUACAAUGCACGCAAGUGUGAUAGGGCAACCCCUCGUGCUUAUCGAGAGAUAGGCUUUUUUUAUGUGUAGUGAGCAUAAAGAAUAAGUGGUGGGCAAGACUGGUGCCAGCAGCCGCGGUAAUACCAGCGCCACAAGUGGAGAUCGCUUUUAUUGGGUCUAAAGUGUCCGUAGCUGGUUUGUUAAGUUUUUUGUGAAAGUUCUGUGGCUUAACCCAGAAAUUGCAAAAAAUACUGAUAAACUUGAGACCGGGAGAGGUAAGAGGUAUUGUUUGGGUAGCGGUAAAAUGCUAUAAUCCUUACAGGACCAACUAAGGCGAAGGCAUCUUACUUGAACGGAUCUGACAGUGAGGGACGAGAGCUAGGGUAGCGAACCGGAUUAGAUACCCCCGUAGUC
rnacentral:rRNA from 1 species